CCGUGAUGUGGGACCUUUCUCAUGAGCUCUUUAAACCACUCCCAUGCCUCAUAAAUGGGCUCAUCAUCAUCCUGACGGAAGUUGAAAAUCUUGGUUCUCAACCG
rfam:Helianthus annuus linkage group 15, whole genome shotgun sequence.